GGAAUUUAACAAAACCCCGGCACGCAUGUGCCAAGGRAAACAAUAAACGRGAAGGACUAGACCUGUUAUGCCCCGUUUGUGGUGUGCAUUCUGAGCGUGUCCUCCUUUGAAUCACAAACGACUCUCGGCAACGG
rnacentral:rRNA from 1 species